UCAUUUAUCCCUUAAACUCCCUCUAACUAAUUUUCUGUACCCGUGUAUCCUAAUGCUAUUGAUUGCACUUACCACCUUUUAUGUGACUAGUUAUUCACAGUCUGUCUCCUUUAUGAAAAUGAGCUCCUUACACAGCAGGGUCCAGAUCUUAUUUAUGUUUGUUUGUAUCAAAGUUUGCAGGAGAAUACAUCCUAAGUACUCAGUGGACAGUUGUUGAGUUGGACUAAAUAUUUUGGACUCUCAUUUUAAUGAAAGGGUGUACCAUUUUUGUAAAAUAGAUUUCUGAUCAUCUUCCCAUAAAUCAAAGGUAACCAUGCAGAGAGUUUUGAUUGUUUUAAGAGCAAGGGUAACCAACUGGUAGUUCUUCAGUUUUUAUUCUACUUGGCUUUUUCAUUUCUUUCACUGAUUUCCCAAUGUGUAUUAGAAAUCACCAAGGCACAUCGUCAGUAAAUGCAUCUUUUUGAAGAUACCAAAUGAAGGGGGCAUUUAAAAUACCUCAUAUUGUAUAGUAUUUUAUAUCAUUAAUAAUAACACUUUUGCAUAAAUACUCUUUAAUCUUUACAACACCUUGUGAAAAUGUGGAACUGAGAGCUUGUGUGACAUGUCCAAGGCCACAAAACUAGAAAAUGGCAUGCUCUAAGAUGAUGAAAAAGAUGAGCAUACUUCUAAAAAGCGCAAAGUAGAACCAGGAGAACCAACAAAGAAGAAAAAGUAGAAAACAACAAAUGACAGAUUUUGAACUGCGAAACUUAUUGAUGAAAUGGUUUUUUGGGCAGAUAAGUUGAUAUUGUAAAAUAUGAAAUAUCAUCUCCAUGAAAGUACCUGUUAAUAAGUAUUGCUGCAGGAACUUUCCACUGUAAAAUUCACUUUUUAUUUAAAACUUGUAUGUAUUUAAAACGCAAAUGGUGACUUGUGAUUGUGAAGUUGACAACACUUAGAAGCAUUCUUGCUAUCACAGAACUGGUGACAUGCUUUGAGAUUUCUGUCAGAUGUUGACAUGCCAAUGUUCUAUGAACCUUUUAUAAAGGAAUGUAUUUUUAAAGUAAAUAUAAUGUAAUGUACUGUGAACUUGUAGGGUGCUUUUCAACAGUGUUUGUACAGUGUAAAUAGAUCAUGGAAAUAAAAUUACUUAUUCAAUAGUACUAUUACUGCAUUACAUUAACAUUUGAAUAUUUGUGACAGAUACUCUCUUUGCCAUGUGAUGUUAAUAGUAGGUAUUACCAUUUAGGGAUUUCCUCCUGUGUUCCAGGUGCUUUGUACAUACGUUAUCUGUGAUCCUCAAACAGCCUAGUAAAACAGGUAUUAGUAGCCUUAUUUUGUAAUAAAGAGUAACAUCCAAGGUUACACAGCUAGUGAGCAGUGAAUUUGGGAUUUAACUCACGACACUUGAGCUCUAAAAUCAUCACGCUAAACCAUCUAUCCGCCAAUCAAAAUUUAGGAACUGUGAUUGGCAUCUUUUCCAGGUACCCUUCUGUGGUAGGUAGUGGAGAUCCUCUCCUCACCUGAUUGUAUUACUGCACGUAUCAUAUAUGUCUUAUAUUGUGAAAAUUCAUUGAUUUCCCUGUUACAUAGUAAGUUUGCUGAAUACAAAGAGUUGCCAGAUGUCAAAAAUAAAAAUACAGGACACACAGUUAAGUUUGAAUGUUACAUAAACAAAUAAUGUUUUAGUAUGUGUAAUAUUUAAAAACUAUUUAUACUAAAAAUUUGUUUACCUGAAAAUCAAAUUUAACUGGGUGUCUUAUAAUUUAUCUGCCAACCCUACUUGUACAUGUUUUCUCUACCCAGCUCCUAUUUUAAUGCUUGUAUAUAGUAAUAAUCAAGAAAACAAGAUUGUAGUCAGGAAGAUAAUAUUUGAUUUGACUUAUAUGGUCAAAUGUAGUGCUGUUAUUUGUAACAUUUUGAACAAUAAAAGGAAAAACACUGCAUUAGUCUUUCCAUGAUUUUUAGGCCUGUAAGAGACUGUUAAUUACAGGACACACUGUAUUUAGAGUGUAAAAAAAAGACAUUAGUUUUAAAAAAAUCCCAGUCCAAUUGUUUCCCCCCAUACCAGAAGCCAAUCUUUAAACUAUAAAAUUUGUUUAGUUGGGAACAUGAUCAAGUAGAUUAAAAUUUGUGUCAUUAAAAAUAUACCAGCCAUGUUGUUUUUGGAAUAAGCAAGGAACAUAACAGUAUGAUGGUUUCUAGUAUGUCUCAAACUUACAAAAAAACAAUUCUGCAGCUGCUUAUCCUCUAGGUUUACAAAUGUAUGAAUCCCAAAAUUGAAGUAAUUGACAAAACAAGAAACUGUUUAAGGUUGAAGUCUUUGUAUGUAAAUAAUUUGGAGGGGGAUGGCAUCAACUGGUAAAGCUUAACCCAAUGUGGCACCAAAUUAAAUGGGAUUAUAAUUAUGAGGCAAAAUGUAUAGUCUGAAUGCAUGUAUUGGUGGAACAGAUAGCUCAGAAGUUGCUGAAAUAUUACAAAAUUAAAAAAAUGAAAGCAAACCAUAACCCCACCAAAAAAGCCCAUCAAGCCACUCUGAAAAUCUUUUAAAUCUUUUGUUCCACUCCCAUUGGUUUAACUCACAGCUUAUACCAAUUAAGACAGAACAAAAGCUCACUACAGCAGUCCCCAUUGGUGCUUUAAGCCUCCUUUCUAAAAGGUAACAGAAUUGAGAGGAAACAGAUACUACUAUUUUUGGAGGGGUUGUAUGUUUCAAUAUUUUAGGACAAGUAGUGGCCACACUUGCGAUAUUAAGCAACUUCUGGGAAUGUGCAUCUAUGAUACAUAGGUCAGGCUAGUUUUCAUUUGGGAGGGGGAAGGGAAGAUAACAAGGAAGGUUAAAUAUUUUGGAACAGUUUCAGCCAUUUGUAUCUUGAGUUUCUUUUCAAAAUAUGGCCAAUUAAUGGGAAGGGAGAUGAACUUGCUUAUGGAUUUCUUCACCUUCCACAGAAAUAUCCCUGGUUGGAAAGUAGACUUUUGUGGCGCUCCAUCUGUCACCUCAUUAGAGAAUGGAUUCUUUACCCCUUCAGAGAUGUUUUUGGGAACAUGUUUGCUUAGGGUGUCCAUGUGGGUUCUCAGGUAAGAAGCUGCUUAGUUUAGCUAGUGAAAAUCCAGUGAAAAAGCUUAGAAAAACCCACAUAGAUAAGAAAAAUCCUCUAAUCAAAUUGCUUCCUUGUUAGAGAAUCAAAUCACUUGAUAUUUCUGAUUGUUUGCUCAUCUUUAGGAUAAGGAAGUUGUAUCAGGCAUGAAGGACUUUUUUGUAUAAGGAUAAAAUUGAGAAAAGAACUUAAGCAUUUUGGGGUCAUGUUUUAAAAUUUAAAGUGUAAAUAGCCUUAUAGAGCUUUGUGGAAAACAUUCUAAUUGGAAUCAAAGAGCAUUGUUGAGAAAAUCGACACUACUUUUUAGCCAUUAAAAUCAUUUCCAAAUGAGAGGGGGGACAAUUAAAAUAUGAAUGAACUAAUGCAGCUUUGGACAUGACCUACAUAUAUAUAAAACAUGUUGCCACAUGAUUGAGAUACAAAGCCCUACCAGAGAUAUUUGAAAAAUGUAAUUAUUUUAUAGAUAUUUGAAUGAACUUAGCAACUCAACUUGAUAGGUCAAAACUGAUGAAUUUAAAUUCACAACUGGACUUAAAAUGUAUCCUUGGUGGAGUUUUGGAUUUUAGAGUUUUGUAUCCAUACAGAACUGCUCCCGUUUUACCCUCCAUGAUCACAGUACAGGAGUGCCAGGCAGACAGUCCUACAAAAAGGUGUGAAAUUCCCAGCAAGUGUUUUGUUGAACUUUUCAUUAGGUUCUGAAGCUUUCUCUCUCUCCUUCCACUUAGUUCUCCCAAUUUGAAGCAUGGCAAAUUUUAAUGCAGGAGGGAAAAAAAAAGAUACCAAGAAGCAUUUGUAUGUACUGCCCCCAGACAUAGAACUUUCAGGCUGUUUUGUUUAUUGAUGAGCAAUGCCUGGCACAUAGUAGGCACUCAAUGUAACUGCUAACUGUUGAUGGUAAGCUGAAUUCCUCACCGCAGGCUUAGGGGUGAUCCAGCAGAGGUUUGUGUUUUCCGUUAUAUGUGCCAAUAAAUCUUGACAGUUUAAACCAA